rnacentral:rRNA from 1 species
GACGAGAAGAGCGAGCGGUUAUGACCUUUUCUGGGCGUAAAGUGUGUGUAGACGGGCCCUUUAUCGAUCACAAGGCAAAGACUGGCUUAUAGUCUCCAACCUUGCGUUGGCGGGGGUCUAGGGGUUUGCAGAGGUACUAGGAACGGCUCGUGUAGGGUUAAUAUCCAAAAAAACGAGCAGGACCUCCAGUGGCGCAGGCAUGGUACCCACCGUAAACCCGACGUUGAGGCACGAAAGCGGGAAAAGUAAACCGA